rnacentral:rRNA from 1 species
AGCGGCGGACGGGUGAGUAACGCGUGGGUAACCUGCCUCAUACAGGGGGAUAACAGUUAGAAAUGACUGCUAAUACCGCAUAAGACCACAGCACCGCAUGGUGCGGGGGUAAAAACUCCGGUGGUAUGAGAUGGACCCGCGUCUGAUUAGCUAGUUGGUAAGGUAACGGCUUACCAAGCCGACGAUCAGUAGCCGACCUGAGAGGGUGACCGGCCACAUUGGGACUGAGACACGGCCCAA